rnacentral:rRNA from 1 species
UUGGAGGGCAAGUCUGGUGCCAGCAGCCGCGGUAAUUCCAGCUCCAAUAGCGUAUAUUAAAGUCGUUGCAGUUAAAAAGCUCGUAGUUGAAUUUCGGGGUUCUACCGUUGGUCGGGCUUUGUCUGUACUGGUGUGUAGAAUUUCUACCUUCUGGGGAACCAUCAUGCUAUUAAUUUAGCGUGGUGGGAAACCAGGACCUUUACCUUGAAAAAAUUAGUGUGUUCAAAGCAGGCUUAUGUCUGAAUACAUUAGCGUGGAAUAAUAGAAUAGGACGGUGGUCCUGUUUUGUUGGUUUCUGAAUCACCGUAAUGAUUAAUAGGGAUAGUUGGGGGCAUUAGUAUUCAAUUGUCAGAGGUGAAAUUCUUGGAUUUAUUGAAGACUAACUUCUGCGAAAGCAUUUGCCAAGGAUGUUUUCAUUAAUCAAGAACGAAAGUUAGGGGAUCGAAGACGAUCAGAUACCGUCGUAGUCUUAACCAUAAACUAUGCCGACUAGGGAUCGGACGAUGUUAAUUUUUCUUGACUCGUUCGGCGCCUUACGGGAAAC